ensembl:lncRNA
CUCCCUCUACCUUCCUCCCUCCAUCCUUCUCUCUCUCGCUUCUCUAUCUAUCCCCUCCUUACCGCCGCAGAUGGCACAAGCUGCGUGCCUGAACAUCCCCAUCCUGUCCUACAGCGACUGUAACAACUCCUACCCUGGCAUGAUCACCAACGCCAUGUUCUGUGCUGGAUACCUGAGGGAGGCAAGGACUCUUGCCAGGGUGACUCUGGUGGCCGUGGUGGGGCAAUGGUGAGCUCCAGGGUGUUGUGUCCGGGGUUAUGGCUUUGCCGAGCCCGGUAACCCCGGUGGUCUACGCCAAGGUAAGACAGAAAUUUUUUUUUCCUGUUUGUGUUUGCGGAAAACAUCAACAUUCAUACAUCACUGUGACAUCACUUGGUUUCCUGAAGGAAAAAGACAUUGAGCCUAUAAAACAUUGAUUGAUGGUUCUCAUGUUGCCUCCCCAUUGAGCGUGUCCACUAAUGUCUCCCUUCUUCUUCUCUUCCUUCAGGUGUGCAUCUUCAAUGACUGGCUGACCAGCACCAUGGCACCUACUAAGUCUGAUCCUAGCUUUGGUCGUCCAGUACGUUCGCACAACUCUACAAACUCCCGUUCCAGAUCAACAUCCACCUUUAGUACGGGAGAUUAGACAUUAUUUAUGUUUAUGAUAAAUAAAGCAUUUAACACUAAAAAGUAUUUUCUGUUGUGUUUGUACUCUCACUGUCCUUAGAAAUCUUUGUAAAGGUCUUUCUAUCUUCUCAUGUCAAGUAGUUUUACUAGUAACACCAGAGAAACUAGUAACCACUAGCAAAUUGUUAAAGUAUGGAUCAAGAAUAUACUGUUUUUCUUUCUAAAGGAUACAGGGGGUAAAUUCAUUGUGUCAUGGUAACCUACCUUAACCAUUUGAUUGUAUCAUACAGCAAGAUACAAGGUCACAUUAUUGAUUACAUUGAUUAGUUUCUAUAGUUGUGUAUUGAUGCGUUGCUGCUCACAAUAGCUGAUGUACGGAUGUUAAAAGUGUGGCAUAAUUGCUCCUUCUUACCCAUUUAGAGUAUUGUCUCUGAGAGUUGUGUUGCUACUGAAAUACUGUGUGGUGCAACAUGAAUAUGGUUGGAUCUUACAUAAUGUUUGUAUAUUGGGUUGCAUGAUUUAGAGUCAAUACCCCUUGAAUGUGCAUCAGUCAGACUGAGUCCAGAUGCUAAAUACUGUACUUCAAUAUUCACAGUGAGAGAUAUCAUAACCUCCAUUAUUUAGAGGGACAAUCAGAGGCAUCAGAGUUCCCAAACAUUCAGGGCUUAGCCCUGGGCCAUCACAGGACAAUAUCUGCAUAUUAAUGAAUAAGAAGUGCUUGGCGAUAAAUAUCUAUUAUAUGGUUGUAAUUCACUUCAGGAAAUAUGAAAGCCAUACACUAGGGGAGAGUGGGGUAAAUUGAGCCACCCUUGUUUCUAGGAAACCAUACACAAUGUUAAUCAUUUGACCAAAUAUUUAGAAAAGGGCCUUCAUUUCAUUGAGUCUGUGAAGUAAGAAAGCACAUGGAAAAAGUGGUAAGCAAGUUAGGUCCAAAAAACGGAUUUUCACCAAGUCAAAUGUAUAUAUUGUGUUAGAGGUUUCAUGAUGCUUUCAAGGCAUUACAGCUGGGAUAUGAGGUAUGAACAGGGCCUGGCCUAUGCUCAAAGUAUUUUUAAAGAACACAGUGUUUGCUAGGUGGUAAGCCUUUGUUGAAAGAUGAUUAAAAUUAUUAAAAGACAAAAAGUUAUUGUGAUGAAUUGUGUUUUUAAAAACGGUACUAGUGAGGUUUCAUUCAGUCCAGAAAUGUGUAGCCAGAUUGACUUACCCUGUCCUGCAGCUCAACUUUCCCCAUAUCUGGGGUAAGUUGUGCCAAGAAACCACUUUUCUAAAAUAAUUAUAACAUCUGGAAAUAUAUGCAGAUAUACUAUAUUUCCCUUGAUGGAGUGAUGCUGAAUUUAAAAAAUGACUAAAAUUACCUGACUCUCCUCUACUGUGAGAAAUUAUUUUGGUUAUGCAUCUGGGACCAUUCGGAGUACAAUAAAAAAAAUAUAUAUACAGUACCAGUCAAAAGUUUAGACACAACUACUCAUUCCAGAGAUUCUUUAUUUUUACUAUUUUCUACUUUGUAGAAUAAUAGUGACAACAUCAAAACUAUGAAAUAACACAUAUGGAAUCAUGUAGUAAACACAAAAAAAGUGUUAAACAAAUUAAAAAUAUUUUAUAUUUGAGAUUCUGUGGGCGGAAGGUAGCCUAGUGGUUAGAGCGUUGGGCCAGUAACCGAAAGGUUGCUAUAUCGAAUCCCCGAGCUGACAAGGUAAAAAUCUGUCGUUCUGCCCCUGAACAAGUCAGUUAACCCACUGUUCCUAGGCCGUCAUUGUAAAGAAGAAUUUGUCCUUAACUGACUUGCCUAGUUAAAUAAAUAAAA